CUUAAAGCUGCACAGUGCGUGGUUUUUGUCUCCCCGUGAGGAAUUCUGAAGUAAUGAUAAAAACACUGUCGGUGCAUCCACAUGAUGCAAGCCAGCCCCAACUCUCCUCCACGCAGUUGCUAACACAGAUGAUUAAAACACAGGACUCUUCAGAAGAGGUAGUUGUCUUGUAACAUGUAUGUCCUCUAAGUCUCCAAAGCUGACCGUUGCUGUUGUCCUUUCUCUGCGGAGACGUAAAACACAUCACUGG